GCGUGCCUAAUACAUGCAAGUCGAGCGAACAGAUGAGGAGCUUGCUCCUCUGACGUUAGCGGCGGACGGGUGAGUAACACGUGGAUAACCUACCUAUAAGACUGGGAUAACUUCGGGAAACCGGAGCUAAUACCGGAUAAUAUAUUGAACCGCAUGGUUCAAUAGUGAAAGACGGUUUUGCUGUCACUUAUAGAUGGAUCCGCGCCGCAUUAGCUAGUUGGUAAGGUAACGGCUUACCAAGGCAACGAUGCGUAGCCGACCUGAGAGGGUGAUCGGCCACACUGGAACUGAGACACGGUCCAGACUCCUACGGGAGGCAGCAGUAGGGAAUCUUCCGCAAUGGGCGAAAGCCUGACGGAGCAACGCCGCGUGAGUGAUGAAGGUCUUCGGAUCGUAAAACUCUGUUAUUAGGGAAGAACAAAUGUGUAAGUAACUAUGCACGUCUUGACGGUACCUAAUCAGAAAGCCAUGGCUAACUACGUGCCAGCAGCCGCGGUAAUACGUAGGUGGCAAGCGUUAUCCGGAAUUAUUGGGCGUAAAGCGCGCGUAGGCGGUUUUUUAAGUCUGAUGUGAAAGCCCACGGCUCAACCGUGGAGGGUCAUUGGAAACUGGAAAACUUGAGUGCAGAAGAGGAAAGUGGAAUUCCAUGUGUAGCGGUGAAAUGCGCAGAGAUAUGGAGGAACACCAGUGGCGAAGGCGACUUUCUGGUCUGUAACUGACGCUGAUGUGCGAAAG
rnacentral:rRNA from 1 species